rnacentral:rRNA from 1 species
GAUUAGCUGGUUGGUGGGGUAAAGGCCUACCAAGGCGACGAUCAGUAGCGGGUUUGAGAGGAUGAUCCGCCACACUGGGACUGAGACACGGCCCAGACUCCUACGGGAGGCAGCAGUGGGGAAUUUUGGACAAUGGGCGCAAGCCUGAUCCAGCCAUGCCGCGUGUCUGAAGAAGGCCUUCGGGUUGUAAAGGACUUUUGUCAGGGAAGAAAAGCUUGAGGCUAAUACCCUUAAGUGAUGACGGUACCUGAAGAAUAAGCACCGGCUAACUACGUGCCAGCAGCCGCGGUAAUACGUAGGGUGCGAGCGUUAAUCGGAAUUACUGGGCGUAAAGCGGGCGCAGACGGUUACUUAAGUCAGAUGUGAAAUCCCCGGGCUCAACCUGGGAACUGCGUUUGAAACUGGGUAGCUAGAGUAUGUCAGAGGGGGGUAGAAUUCCACGUGUAGCAGUGAAAUGCGUAGAGAUGUGGAGGAAUACCGAUGGCGAAGGCAGCCCCCUGGGAUAAUACUGACGUUCAUGCCCGAAAGCGUGGGUAGCAAACAGGAUUAGAUACCCUGGUAGUCCACGCCCUAAACGAUGUCAAUUAGCUGUUGGGGCACUUGAUGCCUUAGUAGCGUAGCUAACGCGUGAAAUUGACCGCCUGGGGAGUACGGUCGCAAGAUUAAAACUCAAAGGAAUUGACGGGGACCCGCACAAGCGGUGGAUGAUGUGGAUUAAUUCGAUGCAACGCGAAGAACCUUACCUGGUCUUGACAUGUACGGAAUCCUCCAGAGACGGAGGAGUGCCUUCGGGAGCCGUAACACAGGUGCUGCAUGGCUGUCGUCAGCUCGUGUCGUGAGAUGUUGGGUUAAGUCCCGCAACGAGCGCAACCCUUGUCAUUAGUUGCCAUCAUUAAGUUGGGCACUCUAAUGAGACUGCCGGUGACAAGCCGGAGGAAGGUGGGGAUGACGUCAAGUCCUCAUGGCCCUUAUGACCAGGGCUUCACACGUCAUACAAUGGUCGGUACAGAGGGUAGCCAAGCCGCGAGGUGGAGCCAAUCCCACAAAACCGAUCGUAGUCCGGAUUGCACUCUGCAACUCGAGUGCAUGAAGUCGGAAUCGCUAGUAAUCGCAGGUCAGCAUACUGCGGUGAAUACGUUCCCGGGUCUUGUACACACCGCCCGUCACACCAUGGGAGUGGGGGAUACCAGAAGUAGGUAGGGUAACC